GCUUCAGACAUGGAAGCUCAUUCCAUUGCUUGCAACAAGAAAUGAAAAUCAGACCUCUGUCGAAGGAGCUGCGGUGGAUCAACUUUUGAUGGCGUGAAGUCACUGAAGGACUGGAACAUCUCUUCCAUCGAGAACGGUACUCAAUGGAGGUUAAGGUCAAGAAAUUUUACCAGAAAUCCAAUGGCUUGCCGUAUAUGUUGAAGUUCAUCCCACGAUGACUGCACAAACUGUAAAAUAUGCCAAAUCAGUAAAUGUGAAGAAUAGCAUUGAUGCUGUUUGUUUCUCCUGAAAAGCUGUGUAUUCAAUUAAGAAUUGUCCGUACUUUUACCGUUUGAAGUUCUUCUUCUAUCUGAUGUCCAUUAUCCAAACUCUGCGCCAUCAUAGGAGGCUUACAUUUCUAGUUCAGUGGAGAUGUCCUCAUUCGUUGAAGCAACCAGAGUCUGCUGGCGUAGAACCUGAUUCUCUGAUUCGAGGACAAUUGCAGCUUGUGCUUCGUCUAGUUGUUGCUGAGUUCCCCUUAAAUCAUUUUGUAGCUUCACAAUUUCUUGCGCUUUAGCUUCUUCUAGAUCAAUCUGCAGAGCAUUGUCAUCACUUGGGAUUUAGUGGAGCUAGUCAAUUACUUGAAUUAGUAUCAACGUUUGACACGUCUCAACUGGCAUCUUUGCGGUGAAGAAUUAUCAACUGAAGCCAUUGAUGUUACUUUGACCCGAUAAUAUGGUGGAAGACUUUGGCGGUUACCUAGGGAAGAGAACUUGGACUGCUUUGAGGAUUCCUCUGGCGGAGGGAAAAGACUAGCAACAAAAGGGCACCUUGAGGCAUAUAAUAGAGCUUGAUGUUCUGCUACAACAUAAUCCUUGUUUUUAUCGAGAAACUGAUCUGCUUGGUCCUGGUCGACUUUGUUAUUCAUACCAAUCAAACAGUCGGGAGUAAACAGUCUUGGCCAAGGCAUCACGACUUAGGGCGGCUUGAUUUGGGUCCAAUGGUUUUGUGAUGUUACCAUCAGGAGUCACUAUGACACGCUUGCAAAGCCAGAGAUCUAACAUGAGUAGCUCUGCUGCUGUUUGAAGAUGGUAGCGAGACUUUUCAUCCUUCACUUUUGAAGAAUCCACUUCCUUCCCUUUGAUGAAGUCGAUGUUUCCGAGAUGUAGGAUUGCAGCUACCACACGGAAUAUUGCUUCCUGCACAGCAGCACAGCAAGGUCACACACUGCUGACGUACCUAUAACAAGUGUCUGCAACUGCAAAGAGAUGUGGACUUAACUCCCCGAAAGCUGCACCCUUGUACUGUUCCAUCAUGUGGAUGUCAUACAAGUGUGGCAGUCUCCGAAAAGGAUUCACCGCUAUGAGAAUGCUGCCAGUGUAAGUCUGCUUAAAUCAGGAGUGGGUGUUAGUUAUCUACUUGUUUGGUUACAUAUUGAUAAGGCUAGGCUGGCUAGCUACUAAAAGAAUCAACUUAGAGGAUGUGACUCACAUAUAUUUCAUUUAGAGCAAAUCGACAAGUGAGGUUAUGUAGGACCCCCGGCUCAUGAAGGUAAGCUAACUUGGUCAUGUCAUCAACGCCCGCUGGUGGUGCUUCUGUGUCUUUUGGAUAUAUGCUUCCAAUAACUGCAACUAUCUGGAGUGGGGUAGAAGCAAUUCAUUAAAAAUAAAUCAAAAUUUUGUUUUCUUUUCAAAUACUCUGCAGUUCAAUGUAGCUGUAUCGAAAGCAGACUUGAACCCUUGUUACAAAUACUUUACUGGACUCACAAAUUAUGGAAUUUACCUGUAAGAUCCUGGCCCUGUUUUUCUUUUAAAAUGAUGUCUUUCUUUUAAAAUUUUCUACACUUUUGUUCCCUUUGUUUUGUUCAAAACAGUACAAUUUUUUAAUUUGAUUAAUCCAUUGGAGAAUUUUAGGAUGACUUUUUUUUUUUUUUAAUUUAGGAAGUAGAUUGAUUAACAUGCUAAGCAGCACAACAUUUUAUGAAAAUUCAACCUUAUAAUCUUGUAAUUCCUUUCUUCCCCCCGUAAAAUUUUCAUUAGUCAAAUACUCAUCAUCAUCAUCCAGAGAUCCUAAGCUUUCUUUCUAUUUCAGUUUGCCAGUGUUGUAAUAGAUGAAGCUGUUAAGAAGUUUCACACAUUAUGCGAUUUUCCAAUGCUGUGGUAGGAGAACAUGAAUUGAAACAUGCAGGGGAUUGGAUGACAAACAUGGAGAGGUAGUCCCAAUAUUUUGGGAAGUAAACUGUAGGAGCAACUUACAGUUUUACCAUCUGGGGUAAUUAUGGUGGCAUCUCUGCCAUUGAUUUCUGACACUUCACCAUCAAUCCAUGCAUUUUCAGGAUCUUCUGCCCAGACAUGUGAUCCAACUACGAUGUUUACUGGAGUUCCCUGCAUCAUCAUCCGACAAAGAACAAGAAAAAUACAGGAGGUUAGCAGGCACAUCGUGAAUGAAUUGCAGAUGACAAUGAUCAAGGAGCUUACCAUGCUGAAGUUCUAAGCAUCAAAAUCCAGUAGAUGAUGAAGGCCCUUUUUGUCGAAGAAAAGAGAGGUAUUCACCAGAAAUGUUCGUACUUGUGAAUCACAGAACUUGAUAGAAGAAGAGAAUGUCUGAAUGGAAUUCAAAAGCAGUGGCAAUGAAUGUGGUGUUUGUAAAGCAAAAAGCAGCAGCCACCCCUCACCUCCCUGCCCCCACUGUUUUCAAACUUUUCUUUUUCUGCUGAUUCCACAUAGGACGCUGACUUGGCACCAGAAGAAGCCUCUGGCCAGUGGUAAAACUAUGUUAGCGUGACUAGGAUUUUUGGUGGGCUCAGAUUGUCUGAGUCCAGUGCUUAGUCCUCCUUCCACCUGACAUCAUCAUGAAUAGCAGGUUCUUUUUCUUCUCUUACAUGUAUGUAUGUAUAUAUGUUAUUAUUAUAUCUAUUGGCAUAUCCAGGGUCAUGAGUUUGCUCAUAUUUGUAGCUUUAUUUUGAUUAAUAUAGGUUGAUAACAACUCAAAAGCUUACAUAAUUUGAAUAGUCAUUGCCUAAAAAACUUUUUGUUAAAGCAAAGUAGGAUUAGGGAAGCCAGUUAUUAUUAGGUGUUCCCACAUGUGAGAUGCUUUAAGCUCCUCCAUCCCCACAAAAUGUCUCUUAAAAUAUUUCUGUCUGGGCCAGAGGGAGGUGGUGGUUGACAUGUCUAGUAGAAGCCGAGUCAGAAAUUCAAAGUUUAUGGAAGCCGACUGGCAUUUGCCAAAGUCAGAGAUGAGAAACACAUUGCAGGGUAUACAAUGGCGGUCGCCGACCUGGACCCUACUUUCUUCUUUCUUCGUUUUGAUGAUUUAGUAAGGAAGGGAGGGCGGUGGAGAAUGGGGGCUGGCGGUGGUAGUGGUCAGAGUAUUGUAUAGAGAGAGUUUCUUUGUUGUGUGGGUGGGGUCCUGUGAAACGUAUAUACCAUAUAUUCUAUGAUGCCUUUCCAAA